rnacentral:lncRNA from 1 species
AACGCCCACCCCCAUUUCUAUCCUCCUUCCGGUUUCCGGCUCCCAGCCGCCAGCGCCAGCUCCCUAUCAAGCCUGAUGGUCCCGCGCGCCUCCCGGCCCCUUGAGUCCAACGACGUCUCCUAGCGACCGGGGCCUGCGGGCCUAUGUGCGUGUGUACGUAAGUGCGUGUCCACGUAACUGCUUGUCUGCGUGCCUACGGGCUUUCGCCCUGGCGUGCUGCGUACCUCCGUGUGCGUACGUAACUACGUGGGUACGAGCCGGCGUAUGCCCCCCGCAAAAAAGGAGCGGCAGCGUCUGUGGCGGGUGCGUCAGGUGAGGGGCCGCCGGCGCCCGGCCGCCUGUCAGCGGUUCCUGGUGUCGGGCGCGGCGAUGGCGGGGACAAGCCCGACGCGGACCGGGCGCUCUGUCCUCUCUCGGCCUGGUGAGGCCCAAGGCGCUCUGGGGAGAUGAAGUUCGGCUGCCUCUCCUUCCGGCAGCCUUAUGCAGGUUUUGUCUUAAACGGGGUCAAGACCCUGGAGACGCGUUGGCGUCCUCUGCUGAGCAGCCACCGGAACCGUACCAUCGCCAUCCACAUUGCUCACAGGGACUGGGAAGACACCGCAUGGAGGGAGCUGCUGGCGGAGAGGCUUGGAAUGACCCCUGCUCAGAUUCAGGCCUUGCUUCUGGAAGGGGAAAAGUAUGGCCGUGGCGUGAUCGCUGGGCUUGUUGACAUUGGGGAAACCGUGCAGUGCCCAGAGGACUUAGCUCCUGAUGAGGUUGUGGCGCUGGAGAAUCAAGCUGUACUGACCAGCCUGAAGCAGAAGUACCUCACCGUGCUUUCAAACCCCAGGUGGUUACUGGAGCCCAUACCCAGGAAAGGCGGAAAGGAUAUCUUCCAGGUAGACAUCCCAGAGCACCUGAUGCCCUUGGGGCAGGACGCCUGGCGAGUGCGGAAGGUUACCGAGAAACCGGCUAAAUCAUGACCCAUCGACUGACCGUCAUGCCGCAGACCUACAAGCCAGGUUCAGUCUGAAUCAGCCCUGCCACUGUGUGCUGUUCGUGGAGACAGGUCUCUCCACUCAGAUGCAGGGGACAGGGCAGCGGGACUUUCCUCCUGAGAUGCCUGUCUGGGCUCGCCGGCAGUCUCCAGGACUUCGACGUUCGGGAUAAAGGGGAAGCGGCCAGUAAAUGUCUUGGUGCCGCCACUACUUGAGUCCUUCUGACUUCCGGGUCGUACAGAGACAUAGGUCUGAAGACGACCGGUUCGUGUUUCCUCCUCUCGUUGUUUUGCUCAGAACUCAUAGGACGUUUGAACAGCAUCCAGGGGACCUUGUGGGAAGGCUGGGAGCGGGCGCUAAAGGGGUGUGCAGGGGUGGCCAGCCACGGGUGCCCCCGUUCACCAUGGCGACAGCAUCAGACUGAGACACAGCAUCCGUCUGUUCUUACAAAUGACUCUUGCUCUGUUGUCAAAGCGUCCCUUGGCCCAUGAAGUAUGCGUGUUCGACACAUCCCACAGCUAGCUACUUCAUGGCCAAAGGAAGGAUCCUAAAUACAGCACCGAUGGGAAAAUGAUUAAGUCGUGUUGUGUAUUCUGUGGGAAAUCUUUUGUUGUCGUUGUGUGCUUUCUUAGCAAAGUUUCUGGUGGUCCUUACCGAUGGGGAAGAUGGGCUGUCCCUCCCCCCAACCCCCAGGCAUUGACUAGAAUGGCCCGUCUCUUCUG